UGUCAGGGUGAUUGGUCGUGGGUUUUUGGUUAAUAACUGCCAGAGCUGUGAGUCGCUGUUUCUCCUCCGCUCAUUGUGCUUUCAAACAGGAAUUGAGUAAAUUAAAACACUCAGCGACUUAGAACUGUCAGGUUUCAGCACUUCUGCAGUGCACAGACACGGUUCCAUGAAAAAAGCCCCAAACUUCUGUCACACUGAUAUAAAGAUAGACGUGCUUGUGCAGCGACGCAAACCCGACAAUGACCUGGCAACGGAUUGGAAGAAGCACUCAAUUUGCUCUCAACCAGAGAGGAUAAAUGCAGAUUGAGGAAUAAUUUGGUGCCGUCGUUGGACUGGUGGCACAGCUGGGGUUGGCAGAAAGAGGAGUGACUCGACUUACAGCAGAACAGGAAUCAGCAGGCUGAUAACGAGGCCUCAGAGCUCCAGACCAGAAGAAACAACGUCUAAACAAGGAACAGGCAGAACUUGAGAGCCGGCGACUGACAAUUGGUUUCCUCUGCGAGUCAACAGUUCAGCCUCUGAUCCCUGGCGUCGAACCACAAGGAAAUCUGGAUGCUGCCUAAGGCGACCAGCGCACCAGGGCCAUUACGUUGGACUGCAAGGGACAGCAAUCAGGAUAUCAAAGCCAUUUUGAGCCUUAAAAUACAUCAGUGCUCCUAUUGAGGGUGCAUUGUUCAUCCCCAUCUCCAGUAUCCACUUGGCUUCUAUUCUUGGCGCUGUUGUAACUGGGAUUAUGGUGACAUGUUGCCUAUUGUGGCUCUUUUUUCAAGAAUACCUCCGUUCCCGCAGGACAGCAAUCUGUGAGUCAGUGCAAGGUGUCUUUACACGCGCUUUAGAGUUCAGCAGUUGUAGAGAAGCUUCUAUGGUUAGCCAGUAGCUAAAGGUAGAUGUCAGCCUGUUCAUUAAAACAAAUGACCCAGUAGGGCCCAGUGACCUAACCUCAGUCCUAUAGAGAAUGCCCAAAGUGGGCAGGAAAACAAUUAUUUUUAAUAGGAUAUGCCAUUUCUGAUAGGAAGAACUCAAAUAUCCAGUCAAAUUUAGUGCAGGACUUUGCUAAAAAAAGAAAAAAAAAGAAAACACGAGUUGUUUGAAGCUCCAUUGAGGCUUUUGUGAAUUGCAAUGUUUAUUUAUUUUUUUUAUAUGUGUUUUAAAUUAUAAUAUUCUAUUUCUACAUGUCAUGUUCUCAGUAGAUGUAAGUGAGAAAUCAU